rnacentral:rRNA from 1 species
AGAGUUUGAUCAUGGCUCAGAUUGAACGCUGGCGGCAGGCCUAACACAUGCAAGUCGAGCGUGAAAGUCCUUCGGGAUGAGUAAAGCGGCGGACGGGUGAGUAACGCGUAGGAAUCUACCUGAUAGUGGGGGAUAACGUUUCGAAAGGAACGCUAAUACCGCAUACGUUCUGAGGAAGAAAGCAGGGGCUCGCAAGACCUUGCGCUAUCAGAUGAGCCUGCGUCCGAUUAGCUAGUUGGUGGGGUAAAGGCCUACCAAGGCGACGAUCGGUAACUGGUCUGAGAGGAUGAUCAGUCACACUGGAACUGAGACACGGUCCAGACUCCUACGGGAGGCAGCAGUGGGGAAUAUUGGACAAUGGGGGCAACCCUGAUCCAGCCAUGCCGCGUGUGUGAAGAAGGCCUUCGGGUUGUAAAGCACUUUAAGCGGGGAGGAAGGCUCUAUGGCUAAUAUCCAUGGGGAUUGACGGUACCUGAAGAAUAAGCACCGGCUAACUACGUG